rnacentral:rRNA from 1 species
UACGUAGGCAGCGAGCGUUGUUCGGAGUUACUGGGCGUAAAGGGCGCGUAGGCGGCCACGACAAGUCACUUGUGAAAUCUCCGGGCUUAACUCGGAACGGUCAAGUGAUACUGUCGGGCUAGAGUACAGAAGGGGCAACUGGAAUUCUCGGUGUAGCGGUGAAAUGCGUAGAUAUCGAGAGGAACACCUGCGGCGAAGGCGGGUUGCUGGGCUGAUACUGACGCUGAUGCGCGAAAGCCAGGGGAGCGAACGGG